ACAGGAUCCAUGUUGUCACUCUAAUGGGGAUUGGUGGAUUUUCUGGUCUUCCGAAGAAGUAUUGUUUGUACCCUUGAAGAUUUCUCGCAGAUGGUUGCUGGUACUGCUGACCCAUCCCUGGAGUAACAGGAGAACAACCAUUCUGUGAGGUUCGUGCUUGCUCAAACAGCUGAAUUAAACGGAGGGGCGGCUGCAUGCUGACAGAAUGGGAUGAUAGUGUUCAGAUCUCCUUGGUAGGCUCAUGCCUCCGGCCGUGUGGCAGUCGUUACAGAAAAUAGCUGGCCGCGGGACCGCAGGGCUCUGUGCAGCUUGACCCGGGGAGUGAGCACCCGCCGCUACCUGAGGCCUGCUCGAGCCCGGCGCUGAGGGGCAGAAGGCGGCUGUGGUGUUCCAUGCUCUUCACUUCUCACUCCCCACCUUUCUUUCUUUUCUAACUUAAGAACUCUCCGAUGAGAAGGGUGCCAGGACCCUCUGAGUAGCCCGUUCUGUGUAAUUACACCUACUGUUGGAAAGGUUUUUCCCUGGAUAGUUAACUAAAUCCUCUUUACUACAAAUCAUGCUAAUGGUACUCUGUGAAUAAAGAAACUAGCAAAAUCUUUAUUUUAUUCAAAAAGUCACCUUCUGUUUCUUAGGAACAUAUCUCUCCUUGGUUCUUUCUGACUAAACAAACAAUUGUUUUAACCUUCCCUUUUUAUUAAUGUUUUCUAAACUCUUUCAGCCUCACUACCCCUUCUUGUAUUCCUUCUAAUUCAUCUACAUGUUUCAUAGUUUGCCUCAGCACAGUGGGUACAAGUACCACACAGUUGCCACCAUGGCAUGUAAUGAUUAUAUCUCC
rnacentral:lncRNA from 7 species